AAAAAGCUCGUAGUCGGAUUUUGGCUGAGAACGGUCGGUCCGCCGUUAGGUGUACACUGACUGGUCUCAGCUUCCUGGUGAGGAGGUGUGCUUCAUCGCCACUUAGUCACCGUGGUUACUUUGAAAAAAUUAGAGUGUUCAAAGCGGGCUUACGCUUGAAUAUAUUAGCAUGGAAUAACACCAUAGGACUCCUGUCCUAUUUCGUUGGUCUCGGGACGGGAGUAAUGAUUAAGAGGAACAGUUGGGGGCAUUCGUAUUUCAUUGUCAGAGGUGAAAUUCUUGGAUUUAUGAAAGACGAACUUCUGCGAAAGCAUUUGCCAAGGAUGCUUUCAUCGAUCAAGAACGAAAGUUGGGGGCUCGAAGAUGAUUAGAUACCAUCCUAGUCUCAACCAUAAACGAUGCCGACUAGGGAUUGGCGGAUGUUAAUUGAUGACUUCGCCAGCACCUUAUGAGAAAUCAAAGUUUUUGGGUUCCGGGGGGAGUAUGGUCGCAAGGCUGAAACUUAAAGGAAUUGACGGAAGGGCACCACCAGGCGUGGAGCCUGCGGCUUAAUUUGACUCAACACGGGGAAAACUUACCGGGGUCCAGACAUAG
rnacentral:rRNA from 1 species